rnacentral:rRNA from 1 species
CGCAUCUGUGCAUGCAGCAUAUCAAUAAGCGGAGGAAAAGAAACUAACAAGGAUUCCCCUAGUAACGGCGAGUGAAGCGGGAAGAGCUCAAAUUUGAAAUCUUAAAGGGUUUCCCUUUACGAAUUGUAGUUUAAAGAAGUGUUUUCUGUUGAGGUUUUGGUAAAAGUUCUUUGGAAUAGGACAUCAUAGAGGGUGAGAAUCCCGUAUUUGACCUUUACUUUCAACUUUGUGAUACACUUUCAAAGAGUCGGAUUGUUUGGGAAUGCAGUCCAAAAUGGGUGGUAAAUUUCAUCUAAAGCUAAAUAUUGGCGAGAGACCGAUAGCGAACAAGUACCGUGAGGGAAAGAUGAAAAGAACUUUGAAAAGAGAGUUAAACAGUACGUGAAAUUGUCAAAAGGGAAGCGUUUGACACCAGUGUUGUUUUUCUGAAAAUCAAUUAAAGGACUGUUUAUGCUAAGUUGUUUAGACUUUAUCAGCUAACUGUUUAGUUUUGAGCUUUUCUUUAAUGCACUUUUCAGUUAACAAGUCAACAUCAAUUUCUUUUGCUGUAAAAAAGCUUGAGGAAGGUGGCUUGAGAUUCGUCUUAAGUGUUUAUAGCCUCUUGCCUAUGCAGUCGGAGAGAUUGAGGUCUGCAGCGUAGAUCCUUCGGGGCUAAAUGCAUUUGUGCUAAGUUAUAGCAUUUUAUAGACAACUUGUUGACUAUGAUUUGUCUUGUAGCUUACUCGCUUAUGUUAUUUUACCUACGCUUAGGAUGUUGACAGCAGUAUAGACUGU